GAGAUUCGAGAGUUAGAUGGACAUAUUCCACUAGGCUGCAGAUGGAAUGUCACAAAAGCUUAUGAUGAGACCCCGGCUAGGCAAUUAGACUUUUACAGAGGGGAGCUCGACCGGAUGAAAAUUUUUCAGUUCGAGUGGCAGCCAUACACCCCUCACCUACCUCGUCUACCGCUGAUUUGUAUGGAGGGCCACG